rnacentral:rRNA from 1 species
AUUAUGGCUCAGAUUGAACGCUGGCGGCAGGCCUAACACAUGCAAGUCGAGCGGAUGACGGGAGCUUGCUCCUUGAUUCAGCGGCGGACGGGUGAGUAAUGCCUAGGAAUCUGCCUGGUAGUGGGGGACAACGUUUCGAAAGGAACGCUAAUACCGCAUACGUCCUACGGGAGAAAGCAGGGGACCUUCGGGCCUUGCGCUAUCAGAUGAGCCUAGGUCGGAUUAGCUAGUUGGUGGGGUAAUGGCUCACCAAGGCGACGAUCCGUAACUGGUCUGAGAGGAUGAUCAGUCACACUGGAACUGAGACACGGUCCAGACUCCUACGGGAGGCAGCAGUGGGGAAUAUUGGACAAUGGGCGAAAGCCUGAUCCAGCCAUGCCGCGUGUGUGAAGAAGGUCUUCGGAUUGUAAAGCACUUUAAGUUGGGAGGAAGGGCAGUAAGYUAAUACCUUGCUGUUUUGACGUUACCGACAGAAUAAGCACCGGCUAACUCUGUGCCAGCAGCCGCGGUAAUACAGAGGGUGCAAGCGUUAAUCGGAAUUACUGGGCGUAAAGCGCGCGUAGGUGGUUUGUUAAGUUGGAUGUGAAAGCCCCGGGCUCAACCUGGGAACUGCAUCCAAAACUGGCAAGCUAGAGUACGGUAGAGGGUGGUGGAAUUUCCUGUGUAGCGGUGAAAUGCGUAGAUAUAGGAAGGAACACCAGUGGCGAAGGCGACCACCUGGACUGAUACUGACACUGA